rnacentral:rRNA from 1 species
UACGUAGGUGGCAAGCGUUAUCCGGAAUUAUUGGGCGUAAAGCGCGCGCAGGUGGUUCUUUAAGUCUGAUGUGAAAGCCCCCGGCUCAACCGGGGAGGGUCAUUGGAAACUGGGGAACUUGAGUAUAGAAGAGGAAAGUGGAAUUCCACGUGUAGCGGUGAAAUGCGUAGAGAUGUGGAGGAACACCAGUGGCGAAGGCGACUACCUGGCCUGUUCUUGACGCUGAGGCGCGAAAGCUAGGGGAGCAAACGGG